GGAGGGGUGUCCGAGUGGUUGAAGGAGGCGGUCUUGAAAACCGUUGAGCCCAUGCGGGUUCCGUGGGUUCGAAUCCCACCCCCUCCGCCA
rnacentral:tRNA from 1 species